rnacentral:rRNA from 1 species
CACGAACUGCGCGAACGUUAUUCGGAAUCACUGGGCUUAAAGAGUCCGUAGGCGGCUCGGAAGGUGGGGUGUGAAAUCCCACGGCUCAACCGUGGAAUUGCGCUCCAAACCGCCGAGCUGGAGGGAGAUAGAGGAGAGCGGAACUGAUGGUGGAGCGGUGAAAUGCGUUGAUAUCAUCAGGAACACCGGUGGCGAAGGCGGCUCUCUGGGUCUCUUCUGACGCUGAGGGACGAAAGCUAGGGGAGCGAACGGG